AAAAUCCUAACUAAAAAACCCUUUGCCAAAACAUGGCACAGAGCAAGAGCAGACUGUCAGCUACACUUGAUCCAAAGUCCAAUUUCAAAGUUACUUUUUUGUUUGUUUGUUUAGGCUGCCCCCAUUUUUAAAUUUGCCUUUUAGAAUGCAGAUUUGCUCUGCUGCACAGUAACAUAGAUGUGCUAUUAUGCAGCUAUAAUGCAAUAGGCUAACUGCUUGCUAACUAAUAAUACAAACUGAUGACAAAUAGUUGCACUGAUGGUAGACUCAUCUCUGCUGCAGUUCAUUGUCAGGUCUCAGGGUGUUAACACCUCACACCACUGCUGUCCAAUUCUGCCUGCUCUUUUAUGUAUUAAAAAAAGCAAAAAGCUUUUCACACCUCUAUUUCCUGUUGCCAUCUGUGCUCAUCAGAGAAAUGAGUGACUCUCCACCCCCAUUUGCAAGCCUGUACCAGACCAAUCUCCAGCUGAGUGCAUCUGUGCCCGUAAUGGCACACCUCCAUUUUCUCUAUCCAGCCUCUCAGUUACCUUUUCCCCACUCUGAGGCUGCACAAGCUCUUAAAUUCCACCCUAGGCACCAGCCCUCUGCUGUGUUUUAACCUCUCCUGUUCUGAUGUGUAGCCCUUGGCUUCUUUCUCAGCUACAGAUUCCGUGUUUUCCUACUGAGACCAAGAACAUUCUUCCGUCUAUUGUUUACCCAUGGGCAUGGUUGCAGGUCUCUGAGGCAGUGACUACAAAUAAAUAUGCCAAUCUAGGCUUCUUUUGUCCCAUUAUUAUAAGCCUUCAAACAGAUGAAGUGGUGAAACUAUUUCAAGGUUGUCCUGGUUUUCAUUGAUGUGGAGACACCAGAAUACCACUGCAGUCUUAUAGGCUGGGUGCAGCAAUUGUUUUCUUAGUUUCUUGGUAGGAGUCAAUUGCUUCCUACUUGUGUGUGUGUGUGUAAUAAUUACAGGUUGAACAUUAUUUGACAAUGAGAUUCCCCCCCCCAUCAUUUUGUUUAAUUACUUUGAUCACAUAUGGACUCUUUUUCUUUGUUUGUGUGAUGAGCCAUCAAUGGUGCUUCCAGAAUUGAAGCAUCAGUUGGCAGGCUUCUGUCAGGGGGUACCCAGAUGUGGUCACAGUUCUCAAAUUAAUAAACUGGCUCAAUGGGUUGGUAACA
rnacentral:lncRNA from 1 species